rnacentral:rRNA from 1 species
AUUGAACGCUGGCGGCAUGCCUUACACAUGCAAGUCGAACGGUAACAGGUCUUCGGAUGCUGACGAGUGGCGAACGGGUGAGUAAUGCAUCGGAACGUGCCCAGUCGUGGGGGAUAACGCAGCGAAAGCUGCGCUAAUACCGCAUACGAUCUAUGGAUGAAAGCGGGGGACCGUAAGGCCUCGCGCGAUUGGAGCGGCCGAUGUCAGAUUAGGUAGUUGGUGAGGUAAAGGCUCACCAAGCCAACGAUCUGUAGCUGGUCUGAGAGGACGACCAGCCACACUGGGACUGAGACAAGGCCCAGACUCCUACGGGAGGCAGCAGUGGGGAAUUUUGGACAAUGGGCGCAAGCCUGAUCCAGCAAUGCCGCGUGCAGGAAGAAGGCCUUCGGGUUGUAAACUGCUUUUGUACGGAACGAAACGGCUCUCACUAAUACUGGGGGCUAAUGACGGUACCGUAAGAAUAAGCACCGGCUAACUACGUGCCAGCCGCCGCAGUAAGAC